CUACGGGUGGCUGCAGUGGGGAAUAUUGGACAAUGGGGGGAACCCUGAUCCAGCCAUGCCGCGUGUGUGAAGAAGGCCCUCGGGUUGUAAAGCACUUUCAGUGAGGAAGAACGCCUGGUGGUUAAUACCCAUCAGGAAAGACAUCACUCACAGAAGAAGCACCGGCUAACUCCGUGCCAGCAGCCGCGGUAAUACGGAGGGUGCGAGCGUUAAUCGGAAUUACUGGGCGUAAAGCGCGCGUAGGUGGCUUGAUAAGCCGGUUGUGAAAGCCCCGGGCUCAACCUGGGAACGGCAUCCGGAACUGUCAAGCUAGAGUGCAGGAGAGGAAGGUAGAAUUCCCGGUGUAGCGGUGAAAUGCGUAGAGAUCGGGAGGAAUACCAGUGGCGAAGGCGGCCUUCUGGACUGACACUGACACUGAGGUGCGAAAGCGUGGGUAGCAAACAGGAUUAGAUACCCUUGUAGUC
rnacentral:rRNA from 1 species